GACGAACGCUGGCGGCGUGCCUAAUACAUGCAAGUUGAGCGCUGAAGGUUGGUACUUGUACCAACUGGAUGAGCAGCGAACGGGUGAGUAACGCGUGGGGAAUCUGCCUUUGAGCGGGGGACAACAUUUGGAAACGAAUGCUAAUACCGCAUAAAAACUUUAAACACAAGUUUUAAGUUUGAAAGAUGCAAUUGCAUCACUCAAAGAUGAUCCCGCGUUGUAUUAGCUAGUUGGUGAGGUAAAGGCUCACCAAGGCGAUGAUACAUAGCCGACCUGAGAGGGGGAUCGGCCACAUUGGGACUGAGACACGGCCCAAACUCCUACGGGAGGCAGCAGUAGGGAAUCUUCAGCAAUGGACGAAAGUCUGACCGAGCAACGCCGCGUGAGUGAAGAAUGUUUUCGGAUCGUAAAACUCUGUUGGUAGAGAAGAACGUUGGUGAGAGUGGAAAGCUCAUCAAGUGACGGUAACUACCCAGAAAGGUACGGCUAACUACGUG
rnacentral:rRNA from 1 species